rnacentral:sRNA from 1 species
GCCGCUACUACUGAAAUGAAAUUGGGCUGGCUUGGUUUCCCUACGUUUAAUGAAGUGUGCGUUUUGGUGGCUGAAGAGCUUUGCAGGGUCAUUGGCUCGAGCAUCUCAUUAGGCAGAGAGCACUCUAUGUUAGGGUUCCUUUCGUGAAGCGAAAGAGAGAUAGCAGAGCUCGUGCCACUUGCCCAAGAGGUUGAAGACGAGACACGUGUGCAUGGAGAUUGAUUCAGCAACGAAGAAGACGAUCGGAGGGUCCAGAAGUGUGGUUCGAGAGCAAGAAAGAGGGACUGUUGGAUCGUGUAAGCAAAGCGUUGAAGGUUCCCUGUUCCUCCUUUUCUUUUUCCCUUAAUUUCUAGCCCUAUAAAAGGAUGUAAAGAGAGUUUUUCGAGGAUGUAAGCGGAGGGUGACAGACUCCGCAAGCAAGUGAGUGGGGAUUAAGUGGAGGGUGACAGACUCCACGGAACGAAGAGAGAAGUGGAGUGCAGACUCCACAGAACGAUUCGAGAUCGCCGAACUAAUUGAGCUGAAAUAAAAAUGAACUAG